CUAAGCAUCAUCACACUAUCACUACUGAGGCCAACUUUACCUGUGCACUGGGCUUCUUCACAGGUUCUAUACCCACCUGUGUCUGCUGGGCAGGAUAUACUGGACAUGGUUAUGGACAGAAUGGAUGUGUCCCACUCAGCAAAAUUUGCCAGAGUAACCCCUGUGUUAAUGGACAGUGCAUUGAAACAGUUUCUAGCUAUCAUUGCGUAUGUGAUCCAGGCUGGGAAGGCACCAACUGCACAGAAAACAUCAAUGAAUGUUCAAGCGACCCCUGUUUUAAUGGGGGCACCUGUAUCGAUGGCAUCAAUGGUUAUACCUGUGAAUGUACAAGUGCUUGGACCGGCUCCCAGUGUCAGACCCCCCAGCAAGUUUGUGGAAGUUCACUUUCUGGACUUAAUGGAUCCUUCAGCUACCCCAAUUCACAGGUCAUUGGCUAUAAUGACAAUAUUAAUUGCUUCUGGGUUAUCCGAACAGAAGAAAGAAAGGUAAGUGCUGGGGCUGGCUAGCCAUGGCAGCAUUUUGUAUUGGAAAACUUGCCCCAGUCUGAGGAACCCAAGAAAAUAUGAUGAGCUUAAUCUCCAGUCUAUAAUCACAUAUAAUACAUAAUUUCAUAGAUGAAUAUCACUGUAGUUACUAGGUGGGUGAAAUUCGGCUUCAGCUAUUCUGCAAAAAUGACAAAGAAAAAGCUGCCAGACAUACUUCCAGCCAAGCCCUGGGUCUAAGGUUUUUAGCCUCAUUAACUCAAAGAUCCAAUAUUUACAGUUCCCUGAAACAUACAUUCUCAUUUCUAGCACUCUUCCAUCUCAGUAAUAAGUACCAGAUCUGAAAACAGAAUGUUAUAUACCAGAUCUUUUAUCCCAUGCAGACCUGCUUAAUUUCUGCCCCUUAAUUUAAUGCUAUGAGUACCAUUUAAAAUGGUUGAUUAAUGAUUAUAAUAACCUCAACAUUAAUAUAGUGCUUUGAGGUUUGCAAAGCACUUUACGUAUAUUAUCUCAUUUGAUCCUCACAGCAACCAUGAGAAGUGGGUUUAAUGAUGAAUAAUGGAUCCUUAUUCUUGUUUUCCUUCAGGAAAGGAGACCCUAAAGGGCCUUUAAAAUCCAAAUAGGCAAAAUCAUGAGAAAAUGCUUUGUUUUCAGAUAGAUAUACUGUUGUUUUCUUCCCUCUGGCCUCUAUUGAUUUAGAUUCUUAAUCACUUUUUAUCUAUUCUAUUCUGUAAUACUGAGAACAUUUAAUUUCUCUUGGUAAAAGGAAUUUCUUAUUUGGACAUUGCCUUAAUAAUUUUAUAGCCUUCAUGUUUCAAGGAAACUAAUGAAUAGAAGUUUCUCUUCAUCACUGGGUUUGUUGUGAGAUAUAUCAUUUAGACUAGAAUGUAGGGAGGGGUAUAAAUUCAUUGGGAUGGAGCCAGUCCAAUUUACUCCAUUUAGAUAUGGCAUAGAAAAUAUGCCUGAGGGGGGAGAGGAAGGCCAUAACGUUAGUUAAUUUUAAAACUCUAACAAAGCCCAGGCACAAAAUUUUAAAAGACAAUUUCUCAACCACCCUAUCUUUAAAAUGAUGAAUAUUAUACUGUAUAAUUUCACAAUUCCAAGUCAUGAUUAUAGAGGAGAGAAUUUCAUGAGCCUAUUGGUUUGUGUGAAAUAAAACAUUACAUUUUCUCA
ensembl:lncRNA